GACGAACCGAGCGAACGUUAUUCGGAAUCACUGGGCGUAAAGGGUGCGUAGGCGGGUCUUUAAGUCAGGGGGGAAAUCCUGGAGCUCAACUCCAGAACUGCCUUUGAUACUGAGGAUCUUGAGUUCGGGAGAGGUGAGUGGAACUGCGAGUGUAGAGGUGAAAUUCGUAGAUAUUCGCAAGAACACCAGUGGCGAAGGCGGCUCACUGGCCCGGUACUGACGCUGAGGUGCGAAAGCGUGGGGAGCAAACAGG
rnacentral:rRNA from 1 species